rnacentral:rRNA from 1 species
UACAGAGGGUGCGAGCGUUAAUCGGAAUUACUGGGCGUAAAGCGCACGUAGGUGGCGACGUAAGUCGGGUGUGAAAGCCCCGGGCUCAACCUGGGAAUUGCAUUCGAGACUGCAUUGCUGGAGUGCGGAAGAGGAAGGCGGAAUUCCCGGUGUAGCGGUGAAAUGCGUAGAUAUCGGGAGGAACAUCAGUGGCGAAGGCGGCCUUCUGGUCCAGUACUGACACUCAAGUGCGAAAGCGUGGGGAGCAAACGGG